ACCUCAAAAGCCACACCCUCAGCCCCUUCCUGACGGGGUGGGGUGGCCCUUGGUCACAGCUGAGUCAUCUCCUUGGACGAGACCUGACAGUAACAGGCCCAGAGGAUCAGACGGAAGGAAGAACACAGGGCAGGGGCUCCACACGGGAACUCCUGCCCAUCGCAGCCAGGGUUCUCAUCUACAGCAGUGCCUGUCUCCCGUGUGAGGGGCUGGACCAUGUCCCCCACUCAUACGCUGGAGCCCCAGCCCCCAGGACCAGCACGAGACCUUAUGUGGAGAGGUACAGGUACAGCUGAGGUCUCGAUUCAAACCUCAUUUGGAUAUUCCAGCAGCCUUCCUUCAAACCCUGCUGUCUCCAGACCUUCCUCCGUUCCAUCGUCCACCAUGCUGGGAAAGCGACCUCUCGAAUCUUGAACUCACUAGCAGCUUUCCAGAACCUUCACAACAAAGUCCAGGUCCUUCGUCAGCCAGCAGGGACCCGCAUUCCCGGACCCCUGCCCCACAGGGUCCGAGUCCUUACGCGGGAACUGACCAGGCAGUUCGGUCAAUAGUUGUCGAAAUUGGAGCCCAGAACAGGCACGGCUGGACCAGCCUGAAGUUAAUGAAAAAUCAGAGACGGAUCCAUGACUGCGGCUUGCUCAAGGGAGCUACGGGCAGGAGAAAGGAAGACCCACGCCUUUUUGCAGAAGGGGGCGCUGGCAGGCUUGAGACGUGGAGGAGCACGGAGCUCUGGGACCUCAGCCCCGCACGGCCUCCCCGGUGAGGGGGUGCUGAUGCCCAGAUAGCUGGGAGUGUGGCCUGAGGCUUCCCAGGCCCCGUGGCAUCCUGCCGAGUCCUCACGCCUUCCCAACCACAGCACGAGGCGGGAGAGUCAGGAUUUGCAGCGAGUCAGGAUCCGCUCCUCACACCCCUGAGAAGGUGCCGCCCACGUGCUCGGAGACUCAUUCACAGCCUUGCUCAGAACACCGUGGGCACAACCGUGUGUCCUCAGGGGCGAAAACAGAAAAGCUGUGACCUGACGUGACACUAGAGGCCCUCAGCUCCCUGUGGGAAGAUUCACCAUCCUUCCAUCUGAUGACUCACCUCCAGCCCAUAGUUCCCUGUCUGCCUCCACUAACCGGGACUUAUGCUGCUACAAGCGAGCUGCCUGCUUCCUGUGUCCCCAGGGCGCAAUUCCAGCCUCACCCUGACGAGCUGGCCCACGUGAGCUCUGGAGAUAGUCCUGCGGGAAAUCCCUCGUGCCGAGCCCUCUCUGCUAGGGCUUCUGAGGGCGCUGCGCGGGGCCCAUGCUGUGGGCAGAAUCGGCGCUGGAAACCCAGUCUCAGCACCAAGGACACGGAAUUCACGUGUCGUGGUCCCGGGACAGACCGUCACCACACGUUGCUUCAUGAGUGUGCCUGAAAACUAACGUUUUUUUGCUGUGGCCAAUUACCCCUGUUCUUGAAAAAACAGAAUUGGUAUCAGCUACACGGCAGAUAAUCGAGUUGUUUAACUUAAACACUUACUUACCUAAAUUC